GUCUAUGGCCAUGCCACCCUGAACGCACCCAAUCUUAUCUGAUCUCAGAAGCUAAGCAAGGUCGGGCCUAGUUAGUACUGGGAUGGGAGAUCACCUAGGAAUACCAGGUGCUGUAGACG
rnacentral:rRNA from 1 species